GUAACGGGAGGCAGCAGGGGGAAUAUUGCACAAUGGGCGAAAGCCUGAUGCAGCUAUGCCGCGUGUAUGAAGAAGGCCUUAGGGUUGUAAAGUACUUUCAUCGGGGAGGAAAAACAAAACUAAUAAUUUUAUUUCUUGACGUUACCCGAAAAAGAAGCACCGGCUAACUCCGUGCCAGCAGCCGCGGUAAUACGGAGGGUGCUAGCGUUAAUCAGAAUUACUGGGCGUAAAGAGCACGUAGGUGGUUUUUUUAAGUUCAGAUGUGAAAUCCCUGGGCUUAACCUAGGAACUGCAUUUUGAAACUGAAAUACUAGAGUAUCGUAGAGGGAGGUAGAAUUCUAGGUGUAGCGGUGAAAUGCGUAGAUAUCUGGAGGAAUACCUGUGGCGAAAGCGGCCUCCUAAACGAAUACUGACACUGAGGGUGCGAAAGCGUGGGGAGCAAACAGGGAUUAGAUACC
rnacentral:rRNA from 1 species